UUUCCAUUCCGGGAAACAAAUCAGUGUGUGCAGAGGAAGAUUACAAGGGAAAUAGAAAAAGAAGCCAGGGUACAACAAGGGAAAACAAAAGCAAUGAAGGUAGGAUGAUCCCUUAGAGAAGACAAAGCAGAGAGCCUGAAGGAAGACAAACUAUUAAUAGCAAAAGUCCAAGAGAUUACCCACCUUCAGGACCUGGCAAACAAUAACCCGAGGGCCGUCUGUGUAACAGCUCCACAAGUGUGAGAAAAGAACUCUUCCCCUAACCAAUGCUGCAGAAGUGGCCCCUUCACAUCAAUCAGCCUUCAAGUUCUUCCUGUGACAACUGAAGUGAGGUCAGUGGAAAGAAGGCAGCCAGUGUCCCCACCUGUAGGUCCACUGUGAUGCUAUUCCAUGAUGCAGCAGACAGCACACCCCCAUUCCUUGGAUUGCACAAACUGGCAUCUGAGAGGUUAUCUUCGAACAAACAUCCAUGGUUGUUAUUUGGGUGGGAAAUUUUAGUGAAUCCUUUCAACUUUGAAGAAUUUAUAAACUAAAUUUGGCUUAAAUAUGCUCUUUCCAAAUUCUUUGGCAAAGACAAUGUAAUUUUGCUUACAACAAAAGAGAAGUCAGAAACUGUGCUGACUUGGACUUUAGGAGGAAAAAAAAUAAAAAGAUCUUUUUUCAAACAGAAUAA